CUACAUUAAAAGAGUGCGUAAUAGCUCACUGGUCGAGAGGUCCUGCGCCGAAAAUGUCCGGGGCUGAAACACACUACCGAAGCUCAGGAAUUAACGUAGUUAAUUGGUAGAGGAGCAUUCUUAAAGGGAAGAAGCAGUACCGGAAGGAGCUGUGGACUUUUAAGAAGAGAGAAUGCCGGAAUGAGUAGCGAGAGGAAGGUGAGAAUCCUUCCGGCCGAAUACCCAAGGUUUCCAGAGUAAAGCUGAUCUGCUCUGGGUAAGUCGGGGCCUAAGGUGAGGUCGAAAGACGUAGCCGAUGGACAACAGGUUGAAAUUCCUGUACUGCAGUAUAACAGAACUGUGGGGACGCAGAGGGAGAGCACUAGCGGGAAUGGAAUCCCGCGGCAAGCGAGGUAGGAGUCGCGCUGGCAAAUCCGCGUGACAAUCCGAAGACGUGAUGCAUACCGAACUGAAGUAGGGAAAUGUGUGAGCCAGCUGCCAAGAAAAGCCGCUAUUGUUUGUACUGUACCCGUACCGUAAACCGACACAGGUAGGUGAGGAGAGAAUCCUAAGGCCGACGGGAGAAGCAUUGUUAAGGAACUCGGCAAAAUGACUCCGUAACUUCGGGAGAAGGAGUGCCAGUGAGAGCUGGCCGCAGAGAAUUGGCCCAAGCAACUGUUUAGCAAAAACACAGGUCUAUGCAAAACCGUAAGGUGAAGUAUAUGGGCUGACGCCUGCCCGGUGCUGGAAGGUUAAGGGGAGAGGUUAGCGCAAGCGAAGCUUUGAACUUAAGCCCCAGUAAACGGCGGCCGUAACGAUAACGGUCCUAAGGUAGCGAAAUUCCUUGUCGGGUAAGUUCCGACCCGCACGAAAGGCGUAAUGAUUUGGGCACUGUCUCAACAAUGCACCCGGUGAAAUUGAAAUACCAGUGAAGAUGCUGGUUACCUGCGCCAGGACGGAAAGACCCCAUGGAGCUUUACUCCAGCUUGAUACUGGGAUUCGAUAUUGUAUGUACAGGAUAGGUGGGAGGCGAAGAAGCAUUGACGCCAGUUGAUGCGGAGCCGCUGUUGGGAUACCACCCUUGCAGUAUUGGAUUUCUAACCAGCAGCCGUGACCCGGCUGGGGGACAAUGUCAGGCGGGGAGUUUGACUGGGGCGGUCGCCUCCGAAAGGGUAUCGGAGGCGCUCAAAGGUUCCCUCAGAAUGGUUGGAAACCAUUCGAAGAGUGCAAAGGCAGAAGGGAGCUUGACUGCGACACCGACGGGUGGAGCAGGUACGAAAGUAGGACUUAGUGAUCCGGUGGUAUAAAGUGGGAUUGCCAUCGCUCAACGGAUAAAAGCUACCCUGGGAUAACAGGCUUAUCACUCCCAAGAGUUCACAUCGACGGAGUGGUUUGGCACCUCGAUGUCGGCUCAUCGCAUCCUGGGGCUGAAGUAGGUCCCAAGGGUUGGGCUGUUCGCCCAUUAAAGCGGUACGCGAGCUGGGUUCAGAACGUCGUGAGACAGUUCGGUCCCUAUCCGGCGUGGGCGUAGGAUAUUUGAGAGGAGCUGGCCUUAGUACGAGAGGACCGGGCUGGACUGACCGCUGGUGUAUCUGUUGUUCCGCCAGGAGCAUGGCAGAGUAGCCAAGUCAGGAAGGGAUAAACGCUGAAGGCAUCUAAGCGUGAAGCCCCCCUCAAGAUGAGAUAUCCCAACGCAAGUUGUAAGACCCCUUGAAGACGACAAGGUAGAUAGGGCAGAGGUGGAAGUGCAGUAAUGCACGGAGCUGACUGUUACUAAUCGGUCGAGGGCAUAAUC
rnacentral:rRNA from 1 species